GCCCCGCUAGCUCAAUGGUAGAGCAACAGCCUUUUAAGCUGAUGGUUGGAGGUUCGAGUCCUCCGCGGGGCA
rnacentral:tRNA from 1 species